GCUGUUUACCUGCCCGAUGUUAUUUGUGUGUUUGGCCAGUUGUUGGAUUUCACCGAUUGAUACCAGAUCACAAGAUUAUCCUUCCCAAAUUGACUUGGCUGCAGAUAGAGGAGUACUUCUUGUACAGAUUGGCAGAUUACUGAAGAAGGUGCUCGGGAGUUGGAGACCCAAACCAAAUUCCAAGUGAAAAGUAAA
rnacentral:lncRNA from 1 species